CUGAAAUAUUAUGUUAGAUGUUUGAUUUUUUUUCCCUCUCUUCCAGUUUCCAUAGUAAUGAUCAAAUCAAAGAAAUAUAGAAAACACCUAACAUUGCUGGAAACUGAAGAGGUGUUCAACUCAUUUAUCCGACCUUGAAGCCAGUAGAGUGCAGGAGACAUCUGAGUGUUGUCAAGGAUCAACAAAUCUGGAUACUAGUUAAUGUGAUGCCGUGAACCUAGCAAUGAGUGAGGAAAAGGAAUCUUUCACCCCUACAAAGGGAUACCAUGGAAUUUCUCAAACAGUGAAUACAUUGGCUCCAGGAAAAAGGGUCGACCUCUUAAAUAGAAAUAGAGAACUAGAGAACAAUAAUGAGGGGAGUACCUUGCAGUCAGUAAUAAGAAGCUGUCUUUACUAUCAAAUCAGACCUCCAGUGGGAGAGUUUUUCCCUAUAGUGACUUUGACUGUCACCCUGUGUUUAAUCACAAUCCUAUGAAAACAGUUAACUCUCUAAGUGGUCAAAGAAAUUUUUCAAUAAACAUAAACUUUAGUCUAAUUCUCAUUAUUCUCCUUUUUUGUCUCUUUGUCUAAAAUAAAGCAAUUAAACAUUAAUUAUGCAAAUCAUUGACAAACUAGAAAAACAAUACCCUUCGUAUUUCAAGACAGUGGGAGAGAUAGGCUGGGUAUUCAGAGAAAAAUACCCCUCAUUAAAUGUUAAUGCAAGAAACAGGUGGAAGGCCGAGCAUGGUGGCUCAGGCCUGUAAUUCCUACACUUUGGGAGGCUGAGGCAGGUGGAUCACCUGAGGUCAGCAGUUUGAGAUCAGUCUGGCAAACAUGAUGGAACCCCAUCUCUACUAAAAAUAUAAAAAAUUAGCUGGGUGGGGUGGCAGGUGCCUUUAAUCCCAGCUAUUUAGGAGGCUGAGACAGGAGAAUCACUUGAACCCAGGAGGUGGAAGUUGUAGUGAGCCAAGAUCGUG
rnacentral:lncRNA from 1 species